rnacentral:misc_RNA from 1 species
GGGGUAUGUGUCCUCUUUUGAUUCUCUUAUAUUUUCUCUUCAUGCUAAUGAUCUGCAUAGAUGUAUUUUAGCAUCUUAUGCUCUGUGCAAUUUUACAUUAAAAUUGAGAAUAAAGAUCUGUUUCAGGUUCUAAUAUGCUUCCACCUUUGUAUCUCUCCUUCUCUUUUCUUGAACAUUUUUCACCAUGUCAGGCAAGCUGAUGAGUUAGGCAAAUUGAGAACAGGGCAACAUGGGAGGCUUCAUGAUCAUCCAUCCACUUGAACAAAAAAAAAAGAAUUAUGGCAUAG